rnacentral:rRNA from 1 species
GACGAACGCUGGCGGCGUGCUUAACACAUGCAAGUCGAGCGGUAAGGCCCUUCGGGGUACGACGAGCGGCGAACGGGUGAGUAACACGUGGGUGACCUGCCUCUAGCUCUGGGAUAAGCCUGGGAAACUGGGUCUAAUACCGGAUAUGACUCCACGGCGCAUGUUGUGGGGUGGAAAGCCUUGUGUGGCUAGAGAUGGGCCCGCGGCCUAUCAGCUUGUUGGUGGGGUGAUGGCCUACCAAGGCGACGACGGGUAGCCGGCCUGAGAGGGCGGACCGGCCACACUGGGACUGAGACACGGCCCAGACUCCUACGGGA